GACGAACGCUGGCGGCGUGCCUAAUACAUGCAAGUAGAACGCAGUUGCGAACGGGUGAGUAACGCGUCGGUAACUGCCUCAUAGCGGGGGGUAACUAUUGGAAACGAUAGCUAAUACCGCAUACUGUGAGAUGGACCUGCGUUGUAUUAGGUAGUUGGUGAGGUAAAGGCUCACCAAGGCGACGGUCCAUAGCCGACCUGAGAGGGUGAUCGGCCACACUGGGACGGAGACACGGCCCAGACGGCCAGGGGAGGGAGCCGUAGGGAUUCGUCGGGAAUGGACGGAAGUCUGACCGCGCAACGCGGCGUGAGUGAAGAAGGUUGCCGGAUCGUAAAGCUCUGUUGUUAGAGAAGCGGUAACUACCCAGAAAGGGACGGCUAACUACGUGCCAGCAGCCGCGGUAAUAC
rnacentral:rRNA from 1 species